rnacentral:lncRNA from 1 species
ACCUUGCUUUAUUUCCACAGCUACAUUACCUCAGCCCUUCAAAGUUGCCACAAGCAAUGUUGGAAUUUAAUGUCGGUCCCCUUGGCCACAGUGAGUAAGAACAGUUGCUGAAAAAUAGCAAAUGGGUGUGGAAAAAUUAAGCGGGGGGAUAUUCAAUAAUCAGAGGGUGCAUGAAAUCAACAGAGUAAGAGAUGUGCCAUGAUGCUCUCAAAAGUGCUGAAGCCAUCCUGCCACCAAUACUGACUGCAAGUGUCUUGGGACUGAAAUAUACCACUAAAAUGGUAUGAUCCUUAAGAGAGGCUAUGCGGUGAAUGGGGCUGUAUGAAAUAGCAGGAAGUGAUUCAUAGGCUCAGGUGUGCCUGGCACACGACUCCCCCAAGUCACCUGCUCACCUGCCCAGCCAGAGUUCAGUGAAUGCAGGCAUAUAAUGGAAAAGAUGGGCAGGGUGGUGAGAGUUACGGAACCUGAGUUCAAGGUGCUGCAUGGGUCCCAAGCCUUUAGCACAGUGGAUCAUGCCUGUAGUCCCAGCUACUUGGGAGGCUGAGGCAGGAGGAUCACUUGAGCCCAGGAGUUCAAGGCUGCAGUGAACAGUGAUGGCACCACCACACUCCAGCCUGGAAAACAGAGCAAGACCCCUUCUCUUAAAAAAAGUUUUUGUUUUUACCUGUUUCUUAGUGAUUGUUUUAUUUUCAGUGUUGUCAAUAUGAUAUAUCAUACUAAGAGAAUAAUUUAUAUUCCUUGAAAGAGAAAUAAAGAAAAAUGAUAUUGCAUAAUGUGAAUUUAGAGAGAUUACUUAGGUGUUCAUUUGUUUGGAUAUUUCACAUGUAAGGUCCCCAUUACCUUGCCUUGUGAUAUGUGAUUCAUUUGCCCAAAAUGAUGAUGACAUCAAAUCAAAAAACUUAACUGAUGUUCAUACAGAAUAUACCCCUUGCUCUGAAAUCCAUCCAGAUCAAAUCCUUGUUAUGGCCAGGCUCAGUGGCUAACUCAUGUAAUCCCAGAACUUUGGGAGGUCGAGGUGGGUGGAUCGCUUGAGGUCAGGAGUUUGUGACCAGCC